GGGAGAAAGAAGGCUUUUUCAGCCUUUAAGAUCACUGCUGUAAUACGAGGUGCAUCAGCGGUUCAGAAAAUAACCGCCAGUGAGUGUGAGGCAGUCAUAAAAAACUGGCUAAAGUACAGUGGUGACAGGAGUGGAGGGAGAAAGAGGAGAACUGGGAGACAGCAGGGAGGUGAUGAUACAGUGUCCAGGGACAGCAGCAGCAGCAGCAGCAUGGAUGAUGACGACUUUUAAGUUAUUUAUUUAUUUGUUUGUUUGUUUGUAUUGUUUAUAAUACAUUAUAUUGUUACCUGUAGGUUAUAACUGCUGUCUGUUUUAAUUCCUUAUGACAUUUAAGCUAUGAAUGGACUUCUGUAAGAUCCUAGAAGCUCAAAUAUCAUGCUUAUAACUAUAAAAGGAAAAAACAUGGCUAAAGUUGGCAAUUGGUUAUAAGCCAACGUUGGCAAUUGGUCAUAAGCCAACCGAGUUAAUGACUGUCAAAAAUGACGUUGGCCCAAAGUCAUGCCAACGGCUGCUAUAC